GAAGGUCCGGGCGUUAUCCGGAUUUAUUGGGUUUAAAGGGAGCGUAGGCCGCAUGUCAAGCGUGCUGUGAAAGCCCGGGGCUCAACCCCGGUCUGCGGCGCGAACUGGCGUGCUUGAGUCCGCGGAAAGCAGGCGGAAUUCGUGGUGUAGCGGUGAAAUGCUUAGAUAUCACGAAGAACUCCGAUUGCGAAGGCAGCUCACUGGAGCGCAACUGACGCUGAAGCUCGAAAGUGCGGGUAUC
rnacentral:rRNA from 1 species